AAAAUUCAAUUUUAUCAGAUGAAGUUGUGUCUGAUACGAUUUCGGCUGAUGAAGUCGCCCCUGACAUAGUGCUGACCCAUCUUAAACGAGCUGGACAAAACGCUCACAAACUCAAAUGAAAGCAUUGUCAAAGCGACAAAAAACCAUUAAUUAAUAGUGAUUAAUCUUAUAUUUUUCACAUCACUCAUUU